rnacentral:rRNA from 1 species
UACGUAGGCAGCAAGCGUUGUUCGGAGUUACUGGGCGUAAAGGGUGUGUAGGCGGUUGGAUAAGAGUGGUGUGAAAAUCUCCCGGCUUAACUGGGAGGGUGCGCUACAGACUGUCUGACUAGAGUGUGGGAUGGGUAAGUGGAAUUCCUGGUGUAGCGGUGAAAAUGCGCAGAUAUCAGGAAGAACACCCGUGGCUAAGGCGGCUCUCUAGUACGGUACUGACGCUGAGACGCGAAAAGCGUGGGGGAGCGAACAGG